GACGAACGCUGGCGGCGUGCUUAACACAUGCAAGUCGAACGGAAAGGCCCUGCUUUUGUGGGGUGCUCGAGUGGCGAACGGGUGAGUAACACGUGAGUAACCUGCCCUUGACUGUGGGAUAACUUCAGGAAACUGGGGCUAAUACAGGAUAGGAGCUCCUGCUGCAUGGUGGGGGUUGGAAAGUUUCGGCGGUUGGGGAUGGACUCGCGGCUUAUCAGCUUGUUGGUGGGGUAGUGGCUUACCAAGGCUUUGACGGGUAGCCGGCCUGAGAGGGUGACCGGCCACAUUGGGACUGAGAUACGGCCCAGACUCCUACGGGAGGCAGCAGUGGGGAAUAUUGCACAAUGGGCGGAAGCCUGAUGCAGCAACGCCGCGUGCGGGAUGACGGCCUUCGGGUUGUAAACCGCUUUCGCCUGUGACGAAGCGUGAGUGACGGUAAUUGGUAAAGAAGCACCGGCUAACUACGUG
rnacentral:rRNA from 1 species